rnacentral:rRNA from 1 species
GAGUUGAUCUUGGCUCAGAUUGAACGCUGGCGGCAUGCCUUACACAUGCAAGUCGAACGGCAGCACGGGAGCUUGCUCCUGGUGGGCGAGUGGCGAACGGGUGAGUAAUGCAUCGGAACGUAUCCUGGAGUGGGGGAUAACGUAGCGAAAGUUACGCUAAUACCGCAUAUUCUGUGAGCAGGAAAGCGGGGGACCUUCGGGCCUCGCGCUCUUGGAGCGGCCGAUGUCGGAUUAGCUAGUUGGUGAGGUAAAGGCUCACCAAGGCGACGAUCCGUAGCAGGUCUGAGAGGAUGAUCUGCCACACUGGAACUGAGACACGGUCCAGACUCCUACGGGAGGCAGCAGUGGGGAAUUUUGGACAAUGGGGGCAACCCUGAUCCAGCCAUGCCGCGUGAGUGAAG